CCCCGCAGCCCCUGCCCUGCCGGCUCCCUGCCCUGCCGGCUCCCUCGGCCGCCCGUCCCGCACACGUGCUGCCCCAGGGAAUGAAUACUGUGUACCCAGACAGCAAUAAACAUUUAGCUGCAGACCACUGACAGAAAUCUAUAGACCACCAGUUUGGGAAACCUCAGCUUCGAACUCUAAAUGAUUCAACAUUUGUUCCCUCUGAUGACACCGCGAAUCUGGGAAUGAAGAACUUCUUGGAGCUGAUUGGAAAUGGCAUUGCGGAGCUGAAACUUAACUGGAGGAAAUAUAUCUCCUGAAGAAGAAAAUAUAAUGCACUGUAAGGAUCUGUCUUCUGGUGAAAAAUUCAAGCCUAGAGAAAACUUGUCCGCUUUGUUAGUAAGAAUGGGUUGGACAAUUUUCUUCAGUUCCAAAGGAUAUCUGAAUGCCAUGCUGAGCUUAAUCUCUGCAGCAUGCUCUGUGCUUCUCAUCUCUUCCUGAUGCACUGCAUGGUUAUUCUGAAGGGAAGGAUAAAGAAACUGGCCACCAAGAUGGUAAUCACUAGUGGAAAUGAAGAAGAUAAAGGCAGUCAAGAAAAGGAAAGCAAAGAAGAAACGAUCUUGGCAAUGCUUGGAAUUAUUGGGACAAUUCUGAACCUCAUUGUGAUCAUUUUUGUGUAUAUUUAUACAACGUUGUAAACUAGAAGGCAUGCAAAUAGACCAGAUAAAACGGCCAUUAAGAGUGACAACAAACAUUGCUGACUAUUGACAUGUUCUUUAAUCAGAAUUGACUCUGUAUUAUAUUAACACAUCAUAAAAGCACUGCCUGAAGGCAGCGAAGACUGAAGCACAAUUAAUUUAACAAGACUUUUUCACACAGUAAUAAGCUUAACUCUUCUCUCCUGCCCUCUCCCUUUUGGUUUGGUUUUCAGUUUGGAGGAGAAUGACUGCAGUUAUAUAAGUUGUAGCUUUGAAGAAAUUCACCAGGAAUAUGUUGUUUUGACACAAUUAAAAAAAAAAAAAAAAAA